rnacentral:rRNA from 1 species
GACGUAGGGCGCGAGCGUUGUCCGGAUUUAUUGGGCGUAAAGAGCUCGUAGGCGGUUUGUCGCGUCUGCUGUGAAAACCCGAGGCUCAACCUCGCGCCUGCAGUGGGUACGGGCAGACUAGAGUGCGGUAGGGGAGAUUGGAAUUCCUGGUGUAGCGGUGGAAUGCGCAGAUAUCAGGAGGAACACCGAUGGCGAAGGCAGAUCUCUGGGCCGUAACUGACGCUGAGGAGCGAAAGCGUGGGGAGCGAACAGG